AGGUCUAUCGCCAAGCGGUAAGGCAACGGGUUUUGAUCCCGUCAUCCCAUGGUUCGAAUCCAUGUAGACC
rnacentral:tRNA from 1 species